rnacentral:rRNA from 1 species
AAAGGAAUAGACGGGGGCCCGCACAAGCGGUGGAGCAUGUGGUUUAAUUCGAUGCAACGCGAAGAACCUUACCCAGGCUUGACAUCCCAUUGAAAGGAUAUAGAAAUAUGUUCCCUCGAAAGACAGUGGAGACAGGUGCUGCAUGGUUGUCGUCAGCUCGUGCCGUGAGGUGUUGGGUUAAGUCCCGCAACGAGCGCAACCCUUGCUUACAGUUGCCAUCAUUAAGUUGGGGACUCUGUAAGGACUGCCGGUGUUAAACCGGAGGAAGGUGAGGAUGACGUCAAAUCAUCACGGCCCUUAUGCCUGGGGCUACACACGUGCUACAAUGGUGGUUACAAAGAGAAGCGAAACAGCGAUGUGGAGCAAAUCUCAAAAAAGCCAUCUCAGUUCGGAUUGAAGUCUGCAACUCGACUUCAUGAAGGUGGAAUCGCUAGUAAUCGUAGAUCAGCACGCUACGGUGAAUACGUUCCCGGGCCUUGUACACACCGCCCGU